rnacentral:rRNA from 1 species
AACCUCCGCAAUGUGAGAAAUCGCGACGGGGGGAUCCCAAGUGCCAUUCUUAACGGGAUGGCUUUUCAUUAGUGUAAAGAGCUUUUGGAAUAAGAGCUGGGCAAGACCGGUGCCAGCCGCCGCGGUAACACCGGCAGCUCUAGUGGUAACAAUUUUUAUUGGGCCUAAAGCGUCCGUAGCCGGUUUAAUAAGUCUCUGGUGAAAUCCUGCAGCUUAACUGUGGGGAUUGCUGGAGAUACUAUUAGACUUGAGACCGGGAGAGGUUAGAGGUACUCCCAGGGUAGAGGUGAAAUUCUGUAAUCCUGGGAGGACCGCCUGUUGCGAAGGCGUCUAACUGGAACGGUUCUGACGGUGAGGGACGAAAGUUAGGGGCGCGAACCGGAUUAGAUACCCGGGGUAUCCUAACUGUAAACGAUGCGGACUUGGUGUUGGGUGGCGUUUGAGCUGCUUCAGUGCCGAAGGGAAGCUGUUAAGUCCGCCGCCUGGGAAGUACGGUCGCAAGACUGAAACUUAAAGGAAUU